UGCUGUUCUCAUGGUGCCGGGUGCUU
rnacentral:piRNA from 1 species